GGGAGGAGGAAAACGUGGCAAAAUGUGUGCAGGGGGAGAAAACACUGCAUUGGCACAGCUUCAGCAGGGAAUUGCACAGGGCAGGGCACAGCUGAUGGUCACAACUUGGACCUGAUCCUGUCAUUCAUUUUAAUGGGGAUCAAAAGGCCACUGAGAUUACCAAGCUUUCAACUUUCAGCUCCCCCAGGACCUGGAGGCUGAGGAGGUCCUGUAUUGCUUUGGCCAAGCAAUCAAAGUUUAUAGAGACUUCUCAGUAGGAUGGGUGGAAGAAACACAGAGAGCAGGAAGCAACUGCUGAAACUGCCAGUGAUUAAAAUGCAAUAAAAUGUUUGCCUUCUGCUGCUGAGC